rnacentral:rRNA from 1 species
GAUGAACGCUGGCGGCGUGCCUAAUACAUGCAAGUCGAGCGAACAGACGAGGAGCUUGCUCCUCUGACGUUAGCGGCGGACGGGUGAGUAACACGUGGAUAACCUACCUAUAAGACUGGGAUAACUUCGGGAAACCGGAGCUAAUACCGGAUAAUAUAUUGAACCGCAUGGUUCAAUAGUGAAAGACGGUUUUGCUGUCACUUAUAGAUGGAUCCGCGCCGCAUUAGCUAGUUGGUAAGGUAACGGCUUACCAAGGCAACGAUGCGUAGCCGACCUGAGAGGGUGAUCGGCCACACUGGAACUGAGACACGGUCCAGACUCCUACGGGAGGCAGCAGUAGGGAAUCUUCCGCAAUGGACGAAAGCCUGACGGAGCAACGCCGCGUGAGUGAUGAAGGUCUUCGGAUCGUAAAACUCUGUUAUUAGGGAAGAACAAAUGUGUAAGUAACUAUGCACGUCUUGACGGUACUUAAUCAGAAAGCCACGGCUAACUACGUG